CGAAAUGUUAAAUAGCUUGCAUAAGUUCACACAGCUGGGGAAAGAUGGAGCUGGAAUUCACAUUGGGGCACUCUGACCUCAGAACCUGUACUCAGACUUUUACUAAGCAGAGUUUGUGGGGAUGUGGAGAGGCAAGGAGUGAUUUGUUGAUGAGCUCCAUUUCAUUUCAGGUACUUGUAUGAAAUCCCAGAGUCUUCCUUAAGCAAGAUGUUGUGUAUAAGAGUUUGAAACUCUGGAUACACUUAGAGAUUUGAGAAUCAUUAACUUAAUAGGGAAGAAAUUGAAAAUAUUAGAGUGGAUGACAUCAUCCAGGGAUCUGUAGAGAAUUAAUUAGAAUUAGAAUUAGAAUUAGAAUUAGAAUUAGAAUGAGCUGAAGGCAGAACUCUGAGGAAUAGCAACAUGGUUAAAAUAAGAGAGCCUAUGAAUAAGAAGGAAGCAGCUGUCAGGGACGUAGAAGCAGAACCAAGAGAAUAUAGUGGGAAAGAUCAUUAAAGAGGUUGGGGGCCCAUGCUGCUGGAGGCUUUAGUAAUAUAGACAUGGAAAAACUUCCAUUCACUUCUCAAUUCACUUCUUCUUCCAUUCACUCUCAAAGUCAUUGGUAGGCCCAUCAAAAAUAACUCCCCAAAACAUGGACCAGUAGAAAGGGGCAGAAGCCACGGGGCAUUAGUCUUAGGAACAAACGGGAGAUGGCCAAGUGGGGGAGAGAGUGAAGACAGUCUAGAAGGGGUUAUGGAAGAACACCACCCCACCCCCAAGGAGAGCAGCAGAGGAUCAGGAACCCAUGCGAGAAGACAUUUGUUAAGAAAUCAAAUCCAGAGGCAUGACUUGUAGUUCCAGAUGUCCCAGAAGACAGAAACUUGUGGAUUCCUUGAUCAUGACAGCAUUGAAAUUCUGAGGCACAUCUUUCUUCAUCAUGAGAGAUAGGAAUGGUUCCUAAAAGUGUCUCCGAAAUUUAAGUAAAAAGGAGGUCAUGACAUCAUUAAGAGCUCCCCGCUAUUACACUCCCGACCCAAAUAACCAAGAUGCCAACAAGCAAAUACGAGUCUCGGAAAAUCUUCCAUCAAGCACUCACCAGCAGUCUAUCAUCCUAUUCCUCCACUUGGCUACUUCCUAGACUCAUCAACCAGUGAAGGAGAAAUGUAACCUUGAUCCCCAGUGUGAGCCCAGGGAGCCCCAUGGCUCCCUAUAAGCUUUGGGACUAUUCUGACCAGGGACAUGGGAACAGAUGUAUGUCAACACUGCUGGCUCUGGCCUCCUGCAGUACAGUAUGUUACAAAAAGAAAAACAGUGUGGCAAUGCUGAUCAAGUUGCCAGUAAACACUACUUGGAACCCUCAGGAUGAGGGUUCAUUCGUUUCCUAUUACUUCAAGUUAAGAUGGAAACGCAGUCUGGUGUCCUCCACAGCCGUGGUUCAUGGACGGUUAGUGUCAACAUCGCUGAGGAACAUGUUGGAAAAUCACAGUCUCAGGCCCGACUUCCAUCCUACUAAAGCAGAAUCUCUGAGGAUAAGACCCAGGAAACAAGCUGUCCAGAAGAUACGGACCAAAAUUUUGGAAGCAAAGAGGACUUGGAGGUGCAAAGCUAGUGUGUUGUUCUGCUGAGACUCCUCCAUCGUCCGAAUUAUAGGAAGCUGUCAGGAAAACAUGCAGUCUCCAAGGGAAUAACAGGAUGGGGAGCUGAUUUACCUUGGUUCUGGGAAUUUGGGAAUUAAGAAAUAUGUGUAGCUGAGGAAGAGGAAUGCUUUGCUUAAGCAAAUACAGUGUUAAGAUUCAGUAAUUACCAGUACAUCUCGG
rnacentral:lncRNA from 1 species